CCAUCCAUUAGACUGAUAGUCCCACCCCUGCUCCCAGCCCCCUGCUCAUUUCACAAGUGGCCUUGGGUAUUUUGUUAAGCCAUAUAUCUAGUUUAUUUAAAAUAUUGUGAAAGCCAGCCAAAGGGAAUGAAUAAAGAAGCAUUAUUUAGCUAACAUUUGUACAGCUCUUUGAAGAUAUAAAGCACCAUAGAAACAGUAAGGACUGAUACAUAGUGUCAGAUUACUGGAGAGUUUUAUAGAGACAGAGAGAGAAAUGAUGAAAUCCCAGUAAGAAGAAGGGUGGGAAGAUGGGGGUAUCUGCCUGUGCCGGUGGGGGAAUGCUGCCUUUUGGAAAGGCAAAUAAGCACAGUCUAGGUUAGGUCAUCUGUCGAGAGAAUAAUUGUGCUUCUAAAGGGCCUGAUAUGCAGAGCAGUGCUGCUUUGAAAUAGAAAUAAAUACAUAAAUAAAUCAGGGACUUUGCACUGAUGAAGGCGAGUGCUUCCCCUGCUUUCUCAUUCCCCGUUGGGUCCUGCUUCCCAGAGCCAAUUACAUAUUUAAAAAGUUUUUCUCUGAAAAGGACUCCAACUCUCAAAUAAAGUUUCUUUUGUGGUUGCCUAAUGAACUGUGAGGGAUGGGGCAGUUUACAGCUUGCUGACUGGUUUUCAAUUGCUCUGGCUCCUGCUUGUAACAUCUUUAUGGAGUGACCACAAUGACAAUGACCUUGCAGCUACUGGGUCACAGGGUAACCCCGUGGCGACUGGUCAUUGGCUCCAUUGUGUGAGGGGAGUGAGUCGACCAGCUUGCCUCCCUUGUCAUCUGCCCCUCCUAGUCCUGCCCAGGCAGUCAGCACCUGAAAGGGACCCCUGUUGCUUUAUCAUGCUGUGGCUAAGUGGACUCUCAUUCCCACUGAGGCAGAAGCCUAACCCAACAGUGUGUCUCCAUCGAGGGCUGUGAAUCCUUCUAGGAGAAGCCUCGAUCUAAUUCAGGAUGCUCUGCGGCUGGUGUGUUUUGUAGCUUUUUUACAAUUUCCACCUGCAUCUUCAAUCAAUAGAGAUGGGCGCUCUGCAGUGCAGCCCUAUCCACCAGAUUAGGGAAUACCAGUACUAACACCACAGCAGCUACACGGACUACCUUACAGCUUCUUUUUUCUGGGAGCAAAGACAUUGCGUCGAAACAAGGAAGCGGGGAUCGCACGAAAUAAAUUACAGCCCGGAAG